rnacentral:rRNA from 1 species
UGAACGCUGGCGGCAUGCUUUACACAUGCAAGUCGGACGGCAGCACAGAGAAGCUUGCUUCUCGGGUGGCGAGUGGCGAACGGGUGAGUAACAUAUCGGAACGUACCGAGUAGUGGGGGAUAACUGAUCGAAAGAUCAGCUAAUACCGCAUACGUCUUGAGAGAGAAAGCAGGGGACCUUUGGGCCUUGCGCUAUUCGAGCGGCCGAUAUCUGAUUAGCUAGUUGGUGGGGUAAAGGCCUACCAAGGCGACGAUCAGUAGCGGGUCUGAGAGGAUGAUCCGCCACACUGGGACUGAGACACGGCCCAGACUCCUACGGGAGGCAGCAGUGGGGAAUUUUGGACAAUGGGCGCAAGCCUGAUCCAGCCAUGCCGCGUGUCUGAAGAAGGCCUUCGGGUUGUAAAGGACUUUUGUCAGGGAAGAAAAGGCUGUUGCUAAUAUCAGCGGCUGAUGACGGUACCUGAAGAAUAAGCACCGGCUAACUACGUGCCAGCAGCCGCGGUAAUACGUAGGGUGCGAGCGUUAAUCGGAAUUACUGGGCGUAAAGCGGGCGCAGACGGUUACUUAAGCAGGAUGUGAAAUCCCCGGGCUCAACCCGGGAACUGCGUUCUGAACUGGGUGACUCGAGUGUGUCAGAGGGAGGUAGAAUUCCACGUGUAGCAGUGAAAUGCGUAGAGAUGUGGAGGAAUACCGAUGGCGAAGGCAGCCUCCUGGGACAACACUGACGUUCAUGCCCGAAAGCGUGGGUAGCAAACAGGAUUAGAUACCCUGGUAGUCCACGCCCUAAACGAUGUCAAUUAGCUGUUGGGCAACUUGAUUGCUUAGUAGCGUAGCUAACGCGUGAAAUUGACCGCCUGGGGAGUACGGUCGCAAGAUUAAAACUCAAAGGAAUUGACGGGGACCCGCACAAGCGGUGGAUGAUGUGGAUUAAUUCGAUGCAACGCGAAGAACCUUACCUGGUCUUGACAUGUACGGAAUCCUCCAGAGACGGAGGAGUGCCUUCGGGAGCCGUAACACAGGUGCUGCAUGGCUGUCGUCAGCUCGUGUCGUGAGAUGUUGGGUUAAGUCCCGCAACGAGCGCAACCCUUGUCAUUAGUUGCCAUCAUUCAGUUGGGCACUCUAAUGAGACUGCCGGUGACAAGCCGGAGGAAGGUGGGGAUGACGUCAAGUCCUCAUGGCCCUUAUGACCAGGGCUUCACACGUCAUACAAUGGUCGGUACAGAGGGUAGCCAAGCCGCGAGGCGGAGCCAAUCUCACAAAACCGAUCGUAGUCCGGAUUGCACUCUGCAACUCGAGUGCAUGAAGUCGGAAUCGCUAGUAAUCGCAGGUCAGCAUACUGCGGUGAAUACGUUCCCGGGUCUUGUACACACCGCCCGUCACACCAUGGGAGUGGGGGAUACCAGAAGUAGGUAGGGUAACCGCAAGGAGUCCGCUUACCACGGUAUGCUUCAUGACUGGGGUGAAGUCGUAA